GGAGAGGUGGCCGAGUGGUUGAAGGCACUCGCCUCGAAAGCGAGCAAGGGCUUGCGUCCUUCGGGGGUUCGAAUCCCCCCCUCUCCG
rnacentral:tRNA from 1 species